GAAAAAACAAAGUCGAUAAUUAAUGCACCACCUCAGCAUAGCACUUUAUUCAAAAAUGACUCAAGUUUUGCUUCUCAGUAGCAUUUUAAGAUGCCAAUACACCCAAAAAACGAGAUAUUAAAAACCCAAGAAAGUCAUUCGAUCCCUGCAAAAGGAAGCAAGGC
rnacentral:rRNA from 1 species